rnacentral:rRNA from 1 species
GAUGAACGCUAGCGGCAGGCCUAAUACAUGCAAGUCGAACGGUGUCUUCGAACAUAGUGGCGCACGGGUGCGUAACACGUAUGCAACCUACCUUACAUUGGGGGAUAGCCUUUCGAAAGGGAGAUUAAUACCGCAUAAGACAGUAGCUGGGCAUCCAGCAGCUGUUAAAGAUUUAUCGAUGUAAGCUGGGCAUGCGUCCAAUUAGCUAGUUGGUGAGGUAACGGCUCACCAAGGCAAUGAUUGGUAGGGGAACUGAGAGGUCAAUCCCCCACACUGGCACUGAGAUACGGGCUAGACUCCUACGGGAGGCAGCAGUAGGGAAUAUUGGGCAAUGGACGCAAGUCUGACCCAGCCAUGCCGCGUGCAGGAUGAAGGCGUUAUGCGUUGUAAACUGCUUUUAUACAGGAAGAAACGACUCUUGCGAGAGGCAUUGACGGUACUGUAUGAAUAAGCACCGGCUAACUCCGUGCCAGCCGCCGCGGUAAAAC